GCACAUGUGGCUGCCAUGUGCAUAUCUCUGUUUCUCUGUGUGAGUCUGUAUCUGUAUAUCAUUGUGAGUCCCUUCAUGUCAGCUGUCCUAGUGUCUCUGUGUGCCCCUAAGCAUGUGUGUCCACGGUCCAGCUCUGUCAGCUCUCCCAGCCCCCACUCGGUGGUCCAUGUCAUUCCCUGCUGCCCCAGGCUCCUCCAGGGCUCUAACAGCCUGUCAUCUUCCAGCUGUGGGGUCCCUGAGUUCUUUGGGCACCUGGGGAGCUGGAGCAGAGGAGAGAGGCAGACAGUCAGGCAGGCACUGUGCAUCCCUGGGGCCCACAGACCCCAACCCAUGGAAACCCUCGCUAGCCCCAGGAUUGGCUCCUGACUUAAAAUUGCCAAUCAAGUUGCAGGGAUCACAAAACAACCUCCUUCCUCUCAGAGUGGGGCCCUGUGCAAUGCAGGGAUCAGAUAGCCAGCAGGCUCAGCAGUGGGGUGAGUGGAGCCCCGGCCCAGACUAAAACUCCUGGGUACAGGAAAUGAAACCAAGCCUGUGAAUAUUCAAAGAAGAAGGAUCCUUAGAGAUCACCUGGCUCAGUUCCCUUCAUGUCCAGUUGUAGAACCCAAAGCCCAGAGAGAUGGCCCAAGCUGACCCUGCAAAUUGGUGGCAGAGCCAGAUCAGAAUCCCAGCCCUGGGACUCUCCUUAAAGCUAAAAAUAAUAACGCAGUGUGGAUAUUAUGAUAAUAACGCAUUAAUAUCAUAUAAUACCUGAUACAAUGGCACAAACUAUGUCUAAAAAAAAAGAAUUAAAGUUAACUUUUUGCAUGUUGAUCACGUAGUCUGUCACCAUUCUGAACUCACUUAUCAGUUCUAAGAGUCUCUUCUGUAGAUUCUGUAGAAACUGGGCAAAAGGCUGAAUAUGUUCCUUCUAACCAAACUGUAAGCCUCCAGCAGUAGCUUACAGCAGCACAAAGCUGGAUCAUUCACCAUGGAAAAGCUGUCAAGAAAACCCAUGGGGUCACUUUUAUUCAUUCAUCUGUUGAUGGACAUUUAGGCUGAUUCCAUACCUUUGCAAUAGUGAAUAGUGCUGCAAUAAACAUGAGCAUCCCUUUGAGAAACUGAUUUCCUUUCCUUUGGAUAAAUACCCAGUAGUAGGAUUGCUGGAUUGUAAGGUAGUUCUAUUUUUAGUUUUCAGAGAAGUCUUUAUACUACUUUCAAUAAUGGCUCUACUAAUUUACAUUCCCACCAACAGUGUAUAAGAAUUUCCCUUUCUUCACAUCCUUGCCAGCAUUUGUUAUUUUUUGUCUCUUUGAUAAUAGCCAAUCUUAACUGGGGUGAGAUAUCUCAUUGUGGUUUUGAUUUGCAUUUCCUCAUGGUUAGUGAUGUUGAACGUCUUUUCAUAUAUUUGUCGGCCAUUUAUUUGUAUGCCUUAUAUAGCUAAUCCUACCUGCUUUUGGUUUCUAUUUGGGUAAAAUAUCUUUUUUCAUCCCUUCAGUUUCAAUCUAUGUGUCUUUACAGGUGAAGUGAGUUUCUUGUAAGCAGCAGACGGUUCCCCUCUGGGCUGAGAGUCUGUGUGUCCGUCUCACUCGGUGGCAUCCCAGGAACCCAGAAUAGCACUGCACGUAAUAGGUGCUCCAUAGGGUACCGGCCUGGGUGAACGGGGGACGGGCCUCUGCGGCCGGAUGGACCACCCAGGGCCACACCUCCAGCGGCGACCCACAUCCACGGCCCCCAUAUCCCAGGGCGGCCGCAGCAGGAGAGGGAGGGAGGGAGUCCCAGGGCCGCCCCGCAGACCGCCCCUGCCCUCUGGGUCCCCACGCCGCUGCCAGCCUCCUGCCGAGGUUC
rnacentral:lncRNA from 1 species